GUACAGCAAUACUCCCAUGGGGAGAAAGCAUUGGAGACACAAGCAAGUGACUGCUUUAAUGAAUUGUUGUCUAGGUCUUUCUUUCAGCAAUAUGAAGGUGAUCCAAGAAAGUUUGUCACGCAUGAUCUCAUCAAUGAUUUAGCCAAAUUCGUAUCUGGUAGGAGUUGUCUUUGGUUUGAAGGCAAUGAAAUCCCAAAAUCUGUUCGCCAUUUAUCAUAUCCCAAACAACGAUCUGAUGACUUUAAAAAGUUUGAGAGCUUUUAUCAUUUAAAGUGUUUGAGGACUCUUUUGUCACAUUACCAACUAAAUAUGGGCUCUUUUGUUUUUUUGCCCAAAAAGGUGCCACCUGAUUUGUUUUCAAAACUAAAAUGUUUAAGAGCACUGUCAUUGUCAGGGUAUUACAGUAUCACUAGCUGCCUAAUUCAAUUGGCAACUUGCGGCAUUUGCGAUAUUUGGACCUUUCCUACACCUCAAUCACUCGGUUGCCUAAUUCAAGCUUUACACCCUACAACUUGCAAACCUUGCUUUUAUCGUAUUGUUUGUCUUUCAAUGACUUGCCUGGAAAGAUAGAGAAGCUUAUUAAUCUACGCCAUCUGGACAUUAGUGGCAUUGCUUUGAAGGAGAUGCCAACACAAAUUUGCAAACUUCAAAAUCUUUAUAAUUUGAGUACUUUUGUGGUGGGAAAACAGAAGGAUGGUUUGGGGAUUAAGGAGUUAAGAAAACUCCCUCAUCUACAAGGUAGGCUUUCCAUUAGCUACAGAAGGUCGUUGAUUGCAUGGAUGCUUAUGUGGUGAACUUGAAGAGGAGAGAAAAAAUUGAGGAGUUAGUGUUGGAAUGGGACUGUGAUACUCAGGAUUCACAAGUUGUAAAAGAUGUACUUGACACGCUGCAACCUUCAAGAAAUUUACAAAGAUUGACCGUUAACCAUUAUGGUGGUACUAGCUUUCCAAAUUGGGUGGGAAAUUCUUCAUUUACAAAUAUUACCUUUUUAUCUAUAAGUGAUUGCAACUAUUGCUUAUCACUUCCACCAUUUGGACAACUACCUUCUCUCAAAGAGCUCUUGAUUAAAGGAAUAACAUUACUACACACAGCUAGUCAUGAGUUUUAUUGCAGUAAAAUAGAGUCCUCUUCAUUUCAGCCAUUUCGGAUUUUGAAAAGUCUAAGAUUUGAGAAGAUGCCAGUUUGGGAGGAAUGGAUACCAUUUGAAGGUGAAGGUACCAAAUUUCCAUUUCCUUGUCUUAAACAUUUGUAUUUAUAGGAUUGUCCUAUGUUGAAGGGAGACAUUCCCGACAAUCUUCCUUCAUUGACAAAGGUUGACAUAUUAAAGUGCAAUCAAUUGAAGGUAAAAUCAUCAGCUUUGCAAUGGAUUACAUCUAUUGAGGAAUUAAAUAUUGAACUAGGGGAACAAGGCUUGUUGAGGACUCUUGAUAAUGAUUCUCCGGUCUCACUAAAAUGUCUCCGAAUUGAGGUGUGUUACAGCUUGCAGUCUUUGCCAAGAUUGAAACCGAGUAGCCAUUAUCUUCAAGACUUUUUAUCUCAUAAAUAUUCAAUUUGUGAAGUCCUUCCCAAUAAAUGGCUUGCCCGCUUCACUGCGACGGCUUGAAAUUUGGGACUGUGAGAAAUUAGAAUUCCUACCCCAGGAAUCUUGGCAAAACUACACGUGACUUGAACAUUUGGAAAUUAAAAAUAGUUGUCAUUCCUUGACAUCCUUUUCCUUAAGUUGUUUUCCAAGGCUGAAACAUCUUUAUUUUGAUGGUUGUCUUAAUCUGGAGAUGUUUACACAAUUUGGGGGAUCUGCUCUUACCUUAGAAUCUUUUGGUGCCUUUGAUUGCAAAAGUCUUAGAUCAAUGACAGAAGUAAAAAUUGAUUCUCUUGGUGCUCUUCAAAAGUUUAAUCUUUCUCGGCUUCCGAAUUUUAACUUGCUGCCUCAACAUGGUUUACCUUCUAACUUGCGAUCAAUUUUGGUUGAUGAUUGCAAGGGACUAUCAUCUAUGUCCAUAGAGGAUUGGGGUUUCCAACGGAUGGCUUCUCUCUUAGAAUUUUGGUUUAGAGGUGAUGAAGGUGAAGGGAUUCUCCACAAUUUACUGAAGAAACAGUUACUGCCAACUUCUCUUGUGCGUGUCUACAUACGGAAUGUCCCUAAUCUUAAAUUCUUGGAUGGAAAAGGGAUUCAACACCUUGCUUCUCUAGAAGCACUCUACAUCCAUGAUUGUCCAAACCUUGAAUCUUUGCCAGAAGAUGAUCUGCCAUCCUCUCUUUUGUUAUUGCAUAUCUCUCGCUGUCCUGAAUUAAGAGAGAGAUAUCAUUAUCAGAGAGGAAAGCACUUGUCCAAGAUUGCUCAUACUCCUACUAUAAAGAUUAAUGACCAACACUAUGAUUCUUGAGGGAGAUGUUACAUGCAUAGAAUCAAAAGGCUUGCACAUCACAAUGUUGGUAUUCCCUUGUGGUCAUAGCAUUUGUUUACAUCUUAUGACUAGAUCUUGCCUGCAGCAGAUAUAGUUACAUAAGCAGCAUGUUACUGGCUUUCAAUGAGCAAAGCUAAAGUCAAAAGUUCGCCAAAAGUGCCGCGUAUAAAGCGAUGCUUAUAGUGGGAACAAACCACUUUUCAAUUUUCUUUUUUAUAUCAUAUUGUU